UACGAAGGGGGCUAGCGUUGCUCGGAAUUACUGGGCGUAAAGCGCACGUAGGCGGUCUCUUAAGUCAGAGGUGAAAUCCCAAGGCUCAACCUUGGAACUGCCUUUGAUACUGGGGAUCUUGAGUCCGGGAGAGGUGAGUGGAACUGCGAGUGUAGAGGUGAAAUUCGUAGAUAUUCGCAAGAACACCAGUGGCGAAGGCGGCUCACUGGCCCGGUACUGACGCUGAGGUGCGAAAGCGUGGGGAGCAAACAGG
rnacentral:rRNA from 1 species